rnacentral:rRNA from 1 species
UGUCUCAGUUCGGAUUGGAGUCUGCAACCCGACUCCAUGAAGCUGAAUUCGCUAGUAAUCGCGCAUCAGCCACGGCGCGGUGAAUACGUUCCCGGGCCUUGUACACACCGCCCGUCAAGCCAUGGAAGCCGGGGGUGCCUGAAGUGCGCUGCCGCAAGGAGCGCCCUAGGGUAAAACCGGUGACUGGGGCUAAGUCGUAACAAGGUAUC